CCAAAGGGGCCGGCUGGAGAUUUUUUGCAGCCUGUCCUGGUAUUUGGCGAGGGAGCAAGAGUGACAACUUAUUGGAAGUUCUCAAGGAAUCAUUUAUAUUUCACACUCCACUAGGCAGCUGAUUUGAGAUUGUCUGUUAGCAUAACAAAAGCUCCGAGCCUGUGAACUUCAGAACCCUUUCGACCUCUUCGCUGCUGGCAUGAAUAGCCCUCAGCCUUGCCUAUAGAGAUCUCCCCAAGCUCCCCUGUUCGUGGUUAAAUUGUUAAUCAGGGUAAUUUAAUAUAGUUUUCAAUAUGCCUCAUCUCUUAUUGGCGAAAGGCAUUCACGGAUUUGCCUCCCCUCCCUCUCGAUUUUUUAAAGAGUUUUUUUUUAUAUAAGGGGGAAAAAAAUCAAGUGUGAGAGAGGGGCAGCUGCAGACAGGACCCCCCCCCCUUCCUUCCUUCACUCUCCUCUCCCCAGUUCCCCUUGAAGGGCAGCCUCCAAGAGUGGAGGGCGACCAAAUGCAAAAUUCACACAGAGCAACAAUCCCUUUCCUUGCACUCCAACCUGAACCUGAAAUUCCAGACUGUGUACUCUCCAUGACUCUCCCACCCCACAAAACCCUCUCUAGCUCUCUCUUUCCCAAGCAGACCAAACAAAACAACCACAAAAGCCAGAAUCCCCCACCUUAACUGAACCAAGAUAUUUGAUGCCAUUCCUUUCCCAGCAUUGACACAAGGCCCACGAUUGGGAGCAACAUGCCUCUGAUAAAGGUGGCACAAACAACUGGCCUUCUUUGUGUUGUCCAAGGCUUUCAUAGCCAGAAUCACUGGGUUGCUGUGAGUUUUUCAGGCUGUAUGGCCUUCCUUUUUCUUCUUCGUGUUGCAUCACAUUGUGCCAAUGGAAAAGUGCAUUUACUCACUGAGGAAACAACUACCAUCACCCUGUGGCAAAUGUUAAUCCUUCUGGGUUGCUGUGAGUUUUCCAACUAUAUGGCCAUGUUCCAGAAGCAUUCUCUCCUGACAUUUCACCCACAUCUAUGUCAGGCAUCCUCAGAGGUUUUGAGGUAUACUGGAAACUAAACAAGAGAGGUUUCUAUAUCUGUGGAAGGUCCAAGGAGGGAGAAAGAACUCUUGCAUGUUGGAGGCAGGUGUGAAUGUUGCAAUUAAUCACAUUGAUCAGCAUUGGAAAGCCUUUCAGCUUCAAGGCCUGGCUGAUUCCUGCCUGGGGCAAUCCUUUGCUGGGAGGUGUUAGCUGGCCCUGAUUGUUUCAUGACUGGAAUGCCCCCGUUUUGAGAGUGUUGUUCUUUAUUUACUGUCCUGAUUUUAGAUUUUUUUUUAAUGCUGGUUGCCAGAUUUUGUUCAUUUUUAUGGUUCCUCCUUUCUGUUGAAAUUGUCCACAUGCUUGUGGAUUUCGCCUAGAUGUGGGCGAAACGUCAGGAGAGAAUGCUUCUGGAACAUAGCCAAACAGCCUGGAAAACUCACAGCAACCCAGUGAAUCUGGCCAUGAAAGCUUUCAACAACAUGUUAAUACUUCUGUUUCUCCUCUCUCUUUCUCCCCGUGCACUCUUCGAUAAAAUAAUUAACAUUUCUCUAUGAUUUCUUUUUCAGAAAAAGGGAUAACCUCUUUGGUUUCUCAGUAGUGACUGAUCUCAGAGGAAAUGGAGGUCUUUCCCUCCUUCUCUCACAAACACACUUUCUUACACUACAUUCUCUCUCACACACACAGACAUACACACAGAGCAAGAUCUCAUAGGGGGUGGGGGUGGGAGUCAACAGCAGGCAGCUCGUUAUAUUCCAGCUCUUUUAAUUACCAAUUCAGGCAUCUCAUUUUCAUCAAGCUAAUUGUGAAGAACUUCUGGGAGAUACCCAAAAGAUGCGAGGUUUUGAUUCCUUACGCACUUCAACCCAUAGCUGGAAAACUGGAGAAAACUGCGAUAUAGGACAACAAUUUCCCUCUGCAAGUUUAUUCUGUUAUUUUAUUACUUUUUGUGGGGAAAAAAUACAGUAUCAGCCAAGACUUAUAUUUUAAAGCCAAUUUUUCUUAAUGGUUAGACCAUGGCUCAUCUUUUCCUUUUCCGAACUGCGAUUUAAGGCAGAUCACAACAAGAUCAAAACAGUGAUCUCCAGUGCAACCAGUCAGAAGCAGGAUCCCUAUCAUAUUGUUCCACUCAUCAGAAAUUGCUAAUGGGAGUUCCUCCAUUUAUGCAGACGACAGAGCUGUACCUGGUUGACUGAUAUUUUAAUUGUUGCAAACUCUUGUUUUUAUUGUAUUACUGUUUUAUCUUUUGUAUAUUGAAUUGAAUUUUGUGGCUUUUUGCUCAAUUGUAUGGUUCGGGCCUUGGCCCAUAUGUGCUGCCCCAAGUCCCCCCAAGGAGAUGGUGGCGGCGGGGUAUAAAUAAAGUUGUUGUUGUUGUUGUUAUUAUUAUUAUUAUUAUUAUUAUUAUUAUUAUUAUUAUUAUUAUUAUUAUUAUUAUUAUAUGGCCUAAGGACUAAUCAAUAAAAUGUUCUAUAUUCUAUUAUUAUAAUAAAAACAUCAAAACAUC